GACAGAGGGGGCAAGCGUUGCUCGGAAUUACUGGGCGUAAAGGGCGCGUAGGCGGGAUGGCAAGUCGGUCGUGAAAUCCCUCGGCUCAACUGAGGAUCGUCGAUCGAUACUGCCGUUCUUGAGGAUUGCAGAGGAGACUGGAAUUCCCGGUGUAGCGGUGAAAUGUGUAGAGAUCGGGAGGAACACCGGUGACGAAGGCGGGUCUCUGGGCAAUUCCUGACGCUGAGGCGCGAAAGCGUGGGGAGCAAACGGG
rnacentral:rRNA from 1 species